UGGGGAAUAUUGCACAAUGGGGGAAACCCUGAUGCAGCAACGCCGCGUGAGGGAUGACGGCCUUCGGGUUGUAAACCUCUUUUGGCAGGGAAGAAGCGAGAGUGACGGUACCUGCAGAAAAAGCGCCGGCUAACUACGUGCCAGCAGCCGCGGUAAUACGUAGGGCGCGAGCGUUGUCCGGAAUCAUUGGGCGUAAAGAGCUCGUAGGCGGUUUGUCGCGUCUGCUGUGAAAGCCUGGGGCUCAACUCCGGGAUUGCAGUGGGUACGGGCAGACUAGAGUGCGGUAGGGGAGACUGGAAUUCCUGGUGUAGCGGUGGAAUGCGCAGAUAUCAGGAAGAACACCGAUGGCGAAGGCAGGUCUCUGGGCCGUUACUGACGCUGAGGAGCGAAAGCAUGGGGAGCGAACAGG
rnacentral:rRNA from 1 species